GGUGGGGCGCGGGCUCGGGUCCCGGGGUCGGGGAAGGGGACGGAGCCAGGCGACCUCGUGGUCAUCCGCCCCCCACCGCCCCCCAUCCCCCAAGGCGAUUCCGAGUGUCUCUGGGGGAGCAAAAGUCUGCGUUGGGAUGAAGUCCAGUUUAUCAGUUUCUUCUCCGAUGGCGUCUCUCCAAACUCCGAGCAAGCCCAUGUCCUGGAGAUCGCGUCCCGUGACCUUCUGCGGAAGUUGUUUCCAUUGCUCUUACAUAUGCAUUUUAGAAUUUGCCUAUCUCUGUCUACAAAAAAAAAUCUUGGUGGAAUUUCGCCUCGUGACGUGCGAAGUCUAUAGAUCACUUUGAGGAGAACUGACAUCUUCGCUACACUGAGCCUUCAGAUUCAUGAACAUGCACCAAAAAGAUACUCUAUUACCGAUAAGAAAGUCUGGCAUUCAAAUCAUCGUUCUUCUAUAGAAACUGUCCACUUCUGCAUUUGUGACGCAUUUGGGGCCAAGUGGCAGGACUUAGAGGAAAAACUUCUGCUAAUUAUCAGGUUCAGCACGGUUCCAGGAUCCAAGAUCAAUAUACAAAAAUCAGCCACAUUUCUUUAUGUUAGCAAUGAGCAAUCCAGCGAUAAAAUUGAGAAAAAAUUCCAUUCACAACAGCAUUGAAAAGAAAGUAACUAGGAGUCAGUUUAACAAACGGAGUGUGAGACUUGAACACUAUGCAGCAUUUCUUUUUUUUUUUUUUUUUUUUUUUGGUAAUAAUGAUCUAUUUUUGAGAGAGAGCGAGAGGAGAGGAGGGGCAGAG